ACUUAUUCACGUAAAUUAAAUGGUACACCCCCAAAACUUGUUUCCCUAAGCUGAUAUUGAAACUUCCAUUAUUGAACAGUUUUUAAAAAUGCAAUUCUAAUCCCUUUUUAAGUUUCAAUACCAAAAAAAAAAAAAAAAAAAACACUCCUGAGCCUCCAAAAGCCACCCUCUUCACAGACCACAAGGGCCAGAUCUGCCACGUGGUUUUUGUGGACAGAUUCUUUCUCUCCACAUUAAAAUCCUAACUGCCACGUCACACCCGCAUAGAACCUCAGUAACACCUUGACGUGUUUUCUCGCUUAGUCCUCCAGAGGCCUGUGAGGCCAGGCCUGUUACAUCCACUUUACAACAGGGAGACUGAGGCUGGGAUAUAAAACUCACCAAGGCCCAUAGAUGCUUGUCAUCAGAAGGGCUUGAAUCCGGCUUUUUUUGACUCCAAGUCUCUCGUGCUGUCAGCCGUAUCCAGGGAUUGAACUGGAUACUUUCAAAGGGACUCUCAAUCUAUAAAAUUCAACAAUUGCCAUUUUAUACGCCAGUGGAUUCAUUUAUUCCUCCAACAAGCAUUUGCAAGCCUGCCAUGGGCCAGGCACUGUUCUGGGGUCUGGGGAUAUAACCAUGAAGUCCCUGCCCCAGUGGGGUUUACAUUCUAGUGGAGAAGAUAAUGAAGAAGAAAGUCCGUAAUAACAUUUCACAUCAUGGCUCUGCUAUGAAGAGAGCACAGGCAGUGGGGUUUAGGUCAGACUGGGAAGUGCCUCGUAAUCUACUAUCUUGCAAGUUUUAAGAUGGGAUCAAAUUUAGAAACAGAAGGCCGAUAGCAGAUGACAAAAUCUGCCCUUCUUCAAAGGUGCCCUUCAUCCCCAGAAUGAAUGGCCCCUGCCUGCGUGGACUUGGUCACCCCAAUUCAAACUCAGCGUACUCAGUGCCAUUGCCCUGGUGAUUUUUUUCACACUCAAAAAUUGGACGAGAGCACAAGGCUUGCCCACAUUGUCACCACAGAAAGACGCUACGCUGGUGC
rnacentral:lncRNA from 1 species